CCCUACUAUGCCUAACCAUAACACAACAAUUAAUCACCAAUUGUUCGCCAAAUAACUACGAGUAAAGACUUAAAAUUUAAAAGACUUGACGGUACCACAUAACCAACCUAGAGGAGCCUGUCAACUAACCGAUACCCCACGAUUAACCCAACCCCCCCUAGCCAAUAACAGUCUAUAUACCGCCGUCGCCAGCCCACCUUAUGAAAGAAACAAAGUGAGCCAAACAGUUAAACACUAACACGACAGGUCGAGGUGUAACUUAUGGGUGGGACAAAGAUGGGCUACAUUUUCUACAACAGAAAACACGAAUAAACUAUGAAACAAGAAACUGAAGGUGGAUUUAGCAGUAAACUAAGAAUAAAACCCUUAAUUGAAACCAACGCAAUGAGGUGCGCACACACCGCCCGUCAUCCCUGUACACCCACAAAAAAAUAUAUAAUUAAAACAUAUAAAUACAAACAGGGCAAGUCGUA
rnacentral:rRNA from 1 species